ACGAACGCUGGCGGCGUGCUUAACACAUGUAAGUCGAACGGUGAAGCGCCUUCCUUUUUGGUGGGUGUGGAUGAGUGGCGAACGGGUGAGUAACACGUGAGUAACCUGCCCCCUUCUUCUGGAUAACCGCAUGAAAGUGUGGCUAAUACGGGAUAUUCUGGGUCUGUCGCAUGAUGGGUCUGGGAAAGAUAUUGUUUCGGUGGGGGAUGGGCUCGCGGCCUAUCAGCUUGUUGGUGGGGUGAUGGCCUACCAAGGCGGUGACGGGUAGCCGGCCUGAGAGGGUGGACGGUCACACUGGGACUGAGACACGGCCCAGACUCCUACGGGAGGCAGCAGUGGGGAAUAUUGCACAAUGGGCGCAAGCCUGAUGCAGCGACGCCGCGUGAGGGAUGGAGGCCUUCGGGUUGUGAACCUCUUUCGCCAGUGAAGCAGGCCUGCCUCGUUUGUGGGUGGGUUGACGGUAGCUGGAUAAGAAGCGCCGGCUAACUACGUG
rnacentral:rRNA from 1 species